CGUCACAUAUUAGAGUGGGGUCCCCCUCUCGGUGCUGGAAACUCCCACGUGAGUGGGGCUGGGGUCUGAGGAAGGGAUAAACCGAGGCAACCCUUCUCCACAAAUGCGGAGAGGCUGCUUCGAACCCACGGCCUGGUGACACAUUGAGACAACUCUCACCAUUGCACCAGGUCUACCCUGCCUUCACAUUUGACUCUUAGGUAUGCAGUAUUAAAAUGGUUCUUAGUAAGUUUAGUCUUCAAUAAAAUCAUCUAUCCUAAUCUUUUCAAUUGCUGAAUGACGAUGAAUCCAAAAGGUAGGAGGAUUAUGAAUUUUCAUUCAAAAGAAACAAGCGGUAGCCACUAUGGCAAUUAAGGAGAUUGAACCAAACCACAAUGACUUAUGAGAUGAAAGUGUCUGAUUUUUUCUUUAACCUAUUAAAUUCACCUAGCAUGCACUUGGCCAGAAAGUAUUUGAUGUAGAUGUCGGCUUCUGGUAUUUUACAUGACACCACUUGCAACUAGUAUGUGAAUAAUUUAGACAAAUUUAGUUCACUACAAAAAUUCUUGAACUUACUAUAAGUCCAUGCAUCUUUCUUCAAAUAUUGAUGUCAUCAGUAAUAAGCAUGGAUGCCAGGCAUAAUAGCAUGCACGCAACAUAAGAUAAAUGUGUAAAGGUUUUAAUAUAAAUGAUGUGUUACAUAGCAUCUUUGAAACAAAAUUCACAUCACCAUUUGCUCACCAAAGCAGUUACUUCGUCAAAGCAUUUUACCUCUUUCACAUCAAUUGUUUUGGCAAAUUCUACAAUCUAGAUGUUACAUUUGCAAUAGUGAUUCUUCCAUAGUUACUUAAAUCCUUUACUAUCAUCAGAUGUUUUGUCAUUUGACAUACAUUUAACUGGCCACAUGUUCAUUGUGACAUUGUCACAUUUCCAAGAGCAAGGUGCUGGUGAAAUGUUUAAAUUUAGUGGAAGAUGAUAUAUAUUAUGUAUAUUUAAUUAAGACGCAACAUGAAUCUGGAGUUGUUUGCGUUUUAUGUGAAACAAUAAUGUUCAAAGAUCUGGAGUUGUUUGGAAGUAGUCCUAAAAAAAGUUUAAAGAUCUGUGCCUUAAAUGCUAAUUCAUAAGAAGAGGUCAGGUAAGGUUUUACCCACCAGAACAUAUGUCUCUUGCCUCUGGUAUAUCUGUUACCAACCUGUAAAAGAAAAUAAACAAGAUGAAAAGAAGCAAGGGCAUGCCUUUAGAUCUUUGAUUGGUAUGGUAUCAAAAUUACUUAUGCAAUCUAGAUAAUUAAGUAAAUAGUUUUAAUUGUAAAACAUACAUGAAUUUGGAAUAUUGAUGUUCAUGUAGAUGUAAGAGUUUAACUGGUGUUUUCUAUUAACAAUAGCUGAUUUGCACAUUCACAAGUCACAAGUCUAGUGUAAGCCUUUAUCCCCAUAGUUUUGGACUAUCGAAAUAAGUGUAAAACUGUAAUUGCAUGCAUGCAUAUGCAAUAUCUUUCAUGUCAAUCUUGUAACUAAUGCCUUAUCUGAUUAAAUGAUAUAACAGUUUACCUUAUUUUUAACUGAGAAUUACAAUAUUAAAGUAGUCUAGAUAGAAUUUGGGUCCAUGGCUGUUCUCUUUAAUUUAUCCAUGAAGUAAUUAAUUGACAGAUUUUGAUAUAGCAGACCACCUUGUCCAUACAGAGUUUGUAAAAUAUCUUCUUGACAAAUUUAGAAACUAUUAUGCUGUAAAAAUAUCUACAAUAUUACUCAUUUUAUUUGUAUGCUAUAGAUAUCAAUUCAACUGGAAACUAAUGUUGACAAUAAAAAACAGUCUGCACAAUGAGACUUAGGUUAAGCGAAUUACGGUGAUUGAAAACAAAAGUUACUCUAUCACAGAAACUUUGGUUUCUUACCCAAUAGCAUACAUAACAAGAGUUCUUCAGAUGUUGAUGGAUGGAAAAGAAACACCCCCCUCCUUUUUUGAGAGGGCUGCAUCCAAUCCUGCAGGUUAUCUAGGUAAGGGGUCCUUGAACUACAAACAUAAAAACAAUGUGCCAAGUAGCAUUCAUUUGUUUCUUUUAGAAAGGUGGCGCUAUCCAGAGUUUAGGAAAUAUUCAACUCAAAAUUUACUUGAAUAACAAAUACAAUAAGCUCACCAAUGCAGAUAUUCCCUGUACUCUGGUUUGCUUGGACUUGGUGCAUCAGGAUCCACCAUAACCUUAGAAGAGGUAAGUUUGAACUUUAGCAUUUUUAUUUCAUGUGUUGUAAAGGAGCCGAGACUUAAUUCUAGAGAGCAAAUAAGAGGGGGGUUAAAAAAGAGAGUGCUUUUGGUGACCUUACUGGAAGGUGUGAUUUUUUUUCACCAAAAUCAGCCAUAAGUUGCAAUAAAACACAUGUUGUUAAGCACUCACAACCAUGUUGUGCAUGUGCAGAAUAUGUUGUACGUGUACAAUGUGUCUGUGAGCCAGAUAAUGGUACAGGUGUGGGAAUAAUUUGUCUGUGACUUUUGUAGUUUUCUUUUUUUUACCAUGGAUUUGGAGGGUGUUCACAGGCAGAGGCAGCAACAUGAGAGCUACCAUGCAACUAAUGUACUUGUAACUUGUAAGUCCUUAUCCUGUACAAUAUCCUU
rnacentral:lncRNA from 7 species